GGAGAAGAUGCCAUCUCCUUCAUCAGCUCUGACACCAACAAACAGCCCUCUCUCACCAACCGCUCCAGAUCACCUUCUGUCAAACAAGUCAACUCUGAAGGGGACCAGAGGUUUCUGUCUCCCUGUUCAGAACCAAAGGGAAACAAGCUUUUGAAAAGUUCUGAAGACUCAAAAGUCCAACAAGCUCCACUGAGCAAAGAGCAGCUGACCAGCAGUCUCGUGUCUGCUAAAGGUCCAAGGAGCAGUGCUGAAGUGGAUGUGGAUAUUGUAGAUAUUGAUGUCUAAUGUUGUAGUUCACAUCUGUCAUCAUGACAUUUUUUUGUAUUUACUGUCUUGUGAGUGUUGGUAAAAGACAGCAUUUGAACGUUUGCACUACAUAAUAUCCUGUAGAUGAAAAUUGUGCCAUUUAAAAUGAUCAGGAUCAGAUUCAGAUCUAAUAAGGCGGUGCUGAAAUACUUGUAAAGAAUGUAAAUUCAUGGUGCAUUGCUAUUGCAUACAUUUUGCACUUAGCCUGUGUGGGCUUAAAAAGACAGAAUGAUGCACCUUCAAAUCUUGUGUAAAACACUCAUUCAUGGCUAACUGUAGCGCAAAAAGAAAAAUAU